ACCGUUGUGGUCUAGUGGUUAGGAUUUACGGCUCUCACAAGUAAGGCCCGAGUUCGAUUCCCGGCAACGGAA
rnacentral:tRNA from 1 species